rnacentral:misc_RNA from 1 species
AAGUCGUAACAAGGUUUCCGUAGGUGAACCUGCGGAAGGAUCAUUAACACGUAUCCAAACGUAUCAACCAACCGCGAACUUGUUUUCCCCUCCCUUUUGAAGGAACGAGUCAGGAACAAAGGGGCGAGAGAUUGAAUGGGGUCUCGAACAGAGACCGAUCUCGAACCACAUAUGUAUUACGACUGAAUUCUUCGAAAGGCUAGUUUUCUCAUACUAUUCUCUCCAUUCAAGAGAGUAGUGCGAGGAACAACACCUAUUCACAAUUUUCACCUCCUUUUGCUAGUUGAUUUUUUACUGUUGGUUCUUACGAAAGUAAGGAUCACACGUUUCAUUAUUUGAACGUCUAAUACAACUCUUAGCAAUGGAUAUCUUGGUUCUC